UACGUAGGGCGCAAGCGUUAUCCGGAAUUAUUGGGCGUAAAGAGCUCGUAGGCGGUUUGUCGCGUCUGCCGUGAAAGUCCGGGGCUCAACUCCGGAUCUGCGGUGGGUACGGGCAGACUAGAGUGAUGUAGGGGGAGACUGGAAUUCCUGGGUGUAGCGGUGAAAUGCGCAGAUAUCAGGAGGAACACCGAUGGCGAAGGCAGGUCUCUGGGCAUUAACUGACGCUGAGGAGCGAAAGCAUGGGGAGCGAACAGG
rnacentral:rRNA from 1 species